AUUGAACGCUAGCGGGAUGCUUUACACAUGCAAGUCGAACGGCAGCGCGGACUUCGGUCUGGCGGCGAGUGGCGAACGGGUGAGUAAUGUAUCGGAGCGUGCCCAGUAGCGGGGGAUAACUACGCGAAAGCGUAGCUAAUACCGCAUACGCCCUACGGGGGAAAGCAGGGGAUCGUAAGACCUUGCACUAUUGGAGCGGCCGAUAUCGGAUUAGCUAGUUGGUGAGGUAACGGCUCACCAAGGCGACGAUCCGUAGCUGGUUUGAGAGGACGACCAGCCACACUGGGACUGAGACACGGCCCAGACUCCUACGGGAGGCAGCAGUGGGGAAUUUUGGACAAUGAGGGCAACCCUGAUCCAGCCAUCCCGCGUGUGCGAUGAAGGCCUUCGGGUUGUAAAGCACUUUUGGCAGGAAAGAAACGUCGCGGGCUAAUACCCCGUGGAACUGACGGUACCUGCAGAAUAAGCACCGGCUAACUACGUG
rnacentral:rRNA from 1 species